UGUUCGAUCAUAUACAUAUAUAUAACGUUUUUCAUUAGACUUUGUUGUUCCUCAUCACCUGCCAAUACCCUCUACAGAUAUGGAUCCGCCGCCACCAAGCACGCCGCUCCUAGCCACCGCUCCUCCUCCCUAUCACCAACCAGGAUGCUUGGAAUUCUGCUUGUGGAUUCUAUGCUGCUGCGGUAUAUUUAAAUGCUGCUGCCCUCCACUGUUUGAGCCUGGGCCGCCUCCACCAUAGUGCUACAUUUUCUUAUGACCCUACUUUGUACGAAAUUAUGAACUGUUUUUUGUAAUUGGUAGACUGAAUGUUUGCUAGAUCUAAACUAUUCCAAUGUGGCUUUAGCUGUUCAUGAAUCUCUUUUUUUUUUUUUUUAGUUUUAUCUCUCUACUAAUUUGUAACUAAUAAAUUUUACCAUUUUUACCGUGUUCCGUUUCUUUUUAAUCACAAAAAAUAAGCACUAUACUCGUUUGUGACAAUGGCUCAGAUACCACAAAAAAUGAACUAGACUCGGAUACCACAAAAAAUAACCAUUGUCACAACAAUUAUCACUUUUGUGACAAUGGGUUUUUUUUUUUUUUUUUUUGUCAAACAAUAAAUUGUAUUAGAUUAGAUGUUAUAUUAGUCAUCAGCGGAGUUUGAAACCACGCCGUCACGUAAGAGCUCAACAUAUUUCCACCACUGUGUAAAUGGUCACUUGCCUUUUGUGACAAUAGUUUGGAUACCACAAAAAAAAUGGAGUUUAGUUCAUCACAAAACAUACCUUGUGAACUCAUUUGAUUAAAUCAAUCCUCUAUGAUCCUUGAUAAAACAUACACUUUGUACAUUCAAACCUCUUUGGGGAUCGAAUUAGAGGGUCUAAUUUUCUAAGAAUAUUCGUGUAGAUUGUCAUCCUACUUAAAAAUGUAAGUUAUAAUAAAUAAAAUUAAUCGUUUUCAUUGACCGAAUGAUUUUGGUAUUGAAUAUCAACAGCCAACACCGCCUACAACCUUGGUUGCCUAAGUUUUCAAAACAGAAUUUAUUUUCGGAAGCCAAAACGAUUGUUCGACAAUUAGGUGCUAAGUUGGACUAAUUUAGAAUAUACUAAGCAGAAAUGACUUAGUGAAGCAUUUGGUGCAGUAUUAGAUAAGGAAGCAGGGUAGGUAAUAAAAAUAGUAUUAUCCUCAAUUUUUGGUGUUUGCUCAAAGAAGAACUAAAUUAUUGUUCUAUUUUAAUUUCUUUUCUAUUAAAAAUAUUUUCAAAAUUAGUAUUAUUGAUUUCAGCAUAAUAAAUACCCCCAUUCAAUACUCAAUCGACACUGCCAUACGAGUAAGCUCAGUCGCAGGGAGAAAUCCUGAUCUCCAAUUUUGAAAAUUUGGAAAAGUAACCAUAUUUUAGAUCCUAUAUAGAAUUAUAGCCACAAUUUUAGUUUUAUGAUAAUUUUAACCAAAACUUGAUGUAAAAGUACUAAUAUACCCUUAAUAUUAGGGUUUCUCACAACAAAAAUAAAACCUUCUUCAAACUCUCUUGCAACCUUCUAGUUUCUCACCUUAAACCAGAAAAGCACUCUUUGCCGAUUUUGCAUAAUUAAGCAGUAGGGAUGUUUUGACCAAAAAAAAAGGCGCAGGACGCAAUAGCCUUUUCAAAUUGUCCAAGAAACAAUGAUAUGGUUGGUCAAUUGUAGCUUCCAAUUCCUAAAUCAACUUUUUGAUAUUUCAUAUCAUGGUUUUAGUCAAAACUUUAAUGAUUUUCAUGUUCCAAUGCAGGUGAAUAUAUUAUGAAUCCUUCGACAAAUCAACAAGUUGAUUGAAGAAUUAGAAGCUCCAAUAAAGCAACCAUAUCAGUGUUUCUUUGGCACUUUGCAUAUGCAGAAUAUGACUCAAUUUGUGACCGUGGUCCAUUACGGAUGGAGGAGGGUUGAUAGCCAAUACAUAUUUGGUCAAGCGAAAGCAAUGGAUAUUUGACUUCCUCUUAAGCAAAACAUGACCAAACGGACGAAUUUUGGAGUUAUUCAAAUUGGAAGACGUUUGUGUGUCUCUUGGUUUAGUAGUUGAGCUUUCAUAUCAACGAGGAUUCUUGACAAGUCUUGGUGUAUAUGAUUACCUUCAAUGGUACUUAAAAAUCCUAUCAAGAAAUUGGCGUCGUCGUCGGGGAUUGUUUUUAAACAAUUUGUGUUAAUCAUAAUUCUUUGUUAAUUAUUGUUGUAAAUAAAAUUUUAAAAAAAUUAUUUAUAUUAAUUUAAUUUUCAUUUUCUUUGCGCAGAGCCCAUAAUCUAGACAGAUCAUGUACAUGGUUUGCACCAGAUCCCAAAAUCAAUAGCUAAUAGAAUUUGAUCCAAAGCCGGAACGCACUUUACAACAAAGGUGCAGGGAGCAAUUUUUAGCGUGUGAACCUUCAUCGGAGGACACUUUCCUAAAAAAUUUGUUUUCUGGGAUUUUGGACAGUAAGGAUACCAUGGCUUUUGCCAUACUAGCUGCUAGGCGUCCAUUGAGGGAUACAUUAGCAGCCCAUGCUAAUGAAUUACCAAGUUGCAUUGUUUAUCCAGAAGAGGAAGACGACACACUCGAGAUCAGACAUCACAUGUUGGAGAUUCUGCCUACUUUUCAUGGUUUAACUCAUGAGGAUCCUAAUAUGCAUAUCACAAAGUUUUUAAUGGGGUGCAGAAAUAUUAUAGUGAAUGAGUUUACUGCAGAGUCAAUCCAACUCCAUCUUUUCCCUUAUUCA